rnacentral:rRNA from 1 species
CCUACGGGUGGCAGCAGUGAGGAAUAUUGGUCAAUGGACGAGAGUCUGAACCAGCCAAGUAGCGUGAAGGAUGACUGCCCUAUGGGUUGUAAACUUCUUUUAUAUGGGAAUAAAAUGCUCUACGUGUGGGAUUUUGUAUGUACCAUAUGAAUAAGGAUCGGCUAACUCCGUGCCAGCAGCCGCGGUAAUACGGAGGAUCCGAGCGUUAUCCGGAUUUAUUGGGUUUAAAGGGAGCGUAGGUGGAUUGGUAAGUCAGUUGUGAAAGUUUGCGGCUCAACCGUAAAAUUGCAGUUGAAACUGGCAGUCUUGAGUACAGUAGAGGUGGGCGGAAUUCGUGGUGUAGCGGUGAAAUGCUUAGAUAUCACGAAGAACUCCGAUUGCGAAGGCAGUUCACUGGACUGCAACUGACACUGAGGCUCGAAAGUGUGGGUAUCAAACAGGAUUAGAUACCCUAGUAGUC